UGGGGAAUUUUGGACAAUGGGCGAAAGCCUGAUCCAGCAAUGCCGCGUGUGUGAAGAAGGCCUUCGGGUUGUAAAGCACUUUUGUCCGGAAAGAAAUCCUUGGCUCUAAUACAGUCGGGGGAUGACGGUACCGGAAGAAUAAGCACCGGCUAACUACGUGCCAGCAGCCGCGGUAAUACGUAGGGUGCAAGCGUUAAUCGGAAUUACUGGGCGUAAAGCGUGCGCAGGCGGUUUGCUAAGACCGAUGUGAAAUCCCCGGGCUCAACCUGGGAACUGCAUUGGUGACUGGCAGGCUAGAGUAUGGCAGAGGGGGGUAGAAUUCCACGUGUAGCAGUGAAAUGCGUAGAGAUGUGGAGGAAUACCGAUGGCGAAGGCAGCCCCCUGGGCCAAUACUGACGCUCAUGCACGAAAGCGUGGGGGAGCAAAACAGGAUUAGAUACCCUGGUAGUCCACGCCCUAAAACGAUGUCAACUAGUUGUUGGGGGACUUCAUUUUCCUUAGUAACGUAGCUAACGCGUGAAGUUGACCGCCUGGGGAGUACGGUCGCAAGAUUAAAAGCUCAAAUGAAUUGACGGGGUCAUAGCUG
rnacentral:rRNA from 1 species